rnacentral:rRNA from 1 species
CCUACGGGAGGCAGCAGUGAGGAAUAUUGGUCAAUGGCCGGAAGGCUGAACCAGCCAUGCCGCGUGAAGGUCAGUGCCCUAUGGGCGUUAAACUUCUUUUGUGCGGGAGCAAUAAUGGUCACGUGUGGCCAGACGAGAGUACCGUACGAAUAAGCAUCGGCUAACUCCGUGCCAGCAGCCGCGGUAAUACGGGGGAUGCAGGCGUUAUCCGGGUUUAUUGGGUUUAAAGGGUGCGUAGGCUGGGAGGUAAGUCAGCGGUGAAAUGCCCGCGCUCAACGGGGUGAAGUGCCAUUGAUACUGCCUUGCUGGAAUGCGGAUGCCGUGGGAGGAAUGUGUGGUGUAGCGGUGAAAUGCAUAGAUAUCACACAGAACACCGAUUGCGAAGGCAGCUCACGAAUCCGCGAUUGACGCUGAUGCACGAAAGCGUGGGUAUCAAACAGGAUUAGAUACCCGAGUAGUC